CCUACGGGUGGCUGCAGUGGGGAAUCUUGCGCAAUGGGCGAAAGCCUGACGCAGCAACGCCGCGUGGGGGAUGAAGGCUCUCGGGUUGUAAACCCCUUUCAGCAGGGACGAAUCAAGACGGUACCUGCAGAAGAAGCCCCGGCUAACUACGUGUCAGCAGCCGCGGUAACACGUAGGGGGCAAGCGUUGUCCGGAUUUAUUGGGCGUAAAGAGCUCGUAGGCGGCUGAGUAAGUCGGGUGUCAAAUCCCCAGGCUCAACCUGGGACCCCACCCGAUACUGCUCUGGCUAGAGUCCGGUAGGGGAGCGUGGAAUUCCUGGUGUAGCGGUGAAAUGCGCAGAUAUCAGGAGGAACACCAGCGGCGAAGGCGGCGCUCUGGGCCGGAACUGACGCUGAGGAGCGAAAGCGUGGGUAGCAAACAGGAUUAGAUACCCUAGUAGUC
rnacentral:rRNA from 1 species